rnacentral:rRNA from 1 species
GGACCCGCACAAGCGGUGGAUUAUGUGGUUUAAUUCGUCUCUACGCGCAGAACCUUACCAGCUCUUGACAUGCGCCUCGAUCGGGCGAGAAAUUGCCCGAGUCACCUCGGGUGGAGGCUGCACAGGUGUUGCAUGGCUGUCGUCAGCUCGUAUCGUGAGACGUUGGGUUAAGUCCCGCAACGAGCGCAACCCCCUCGGUGAUUUACCAGCAGGUAACGCUGGGUACGUGUCACGGAACUGCCGGUGACAAGCCGGAGGAAGGAGGGGAUGAUGUCAAGUCCUCAUGGCCCUUAUGGGCUGGGCUACACACGUAAUACAAUGGCUGCCACAGAGAGCUCCGAUGCGGCAACGCGGAGGGAAUCUCGAAAAGCAGUCCCAGUUCGGAUUGUCUUCUGCAACUCGAAGGCAUGAAGUUGGAAUCGCUAGUAAUCGCAGAACAGCAUGCUG